rnacentral:rRNA from 1 species
GAUGAACGCUGGCGGCGUGCCUAAUACAUGCAAGUCGAGCGAAUGGAUUAAGAGCUUGCUCUUAUGAAGUUAGCGGCGGACGGGUGAGUAACACGUGGGUAACCUGCCCAUAAGACUGGGAUAACUCCGGGAAACCGGGGCUAAUACCGGAUAACAUUUUGAACCGCAUGGUUCGAAAUUGAAAGGCGGCUUCGGCUGUCACUUAUGGAUGGACCCGCGUCGCAUUAGCUAGUUGGUGAGGUAACGGCUCACCAAGGCAACGAUGCGUAGCCGAGCUGAGGGGGGGACCGGCCACACUGGGACUGAGUCACGGCCCAAACUCCUACGGGAGGUAGCAGUAGGGAAUCUUCCGCAAUGGACGAAAGUCUGACGGAGCAACGCCGCGUGAGUGAUGAAGGCUUUCGGGUCGUAAAACUCGGUUGUUAGGGAAGAACAAGUGCUAGUUGAAUAAGCUAACACCUUGACGGUACCUAACCAGAAAGCCACGGCUAACUACGUGCCAGCAGCCGCCGUAA